GACACCCGGAGCCGCAGCGAAAGCGAGUCUGAAAAGGGCGACAAGUCGCAGGCCGUAGACCCGAAACCGGGUGAUCUACCCAUGGGCAGGGUGAAGCGCGGGUAAAACCGCGUGGAGGCCCGAACCGGUGUCCGUUGCAAAGGGCUCGGAUGACCUGUGGGUAGCGGUGAAAUGCCAAACGAACCCGGCGAUAGCUGGUUCUCCCCGAAAUCGCUUGAGGGCGAGCCUGCGGUAGGAGUGUGUCGGAGGUAGAGCACUGGAUGGGCUAGGGCCCAUUGCGGGUACCAACCCCAACCAAACUCCGAAUGCCGACACAUGGUGCCGCGGAGUUGGACGGUGGGGGAUGAUCUCCAUCGUCGAGAGGGGAACAACCCAGACCGCCCGCUAAGGUCCCGAAAUCUGGGCUGAGUGGGAAAGGAGGUGGCGUCGCGAAGACAGCCAGGAGGUUGGCUUAGAAGCAGCCAUCCUUUAAAGAGUGCGUAAUAGCUCACUGGUCGAGUGACGCUGCGCCGAAAAUGUAACGGGGCAAAGCCCAGUACCGAAGCGGCGGGUCGUUGUGGAGACACAACGGCGGUAGGGGAGCGUUCCGCGGGCGUAGAAGGUCAGUCGUGAGGCUGGCUGGAGCGCGCGGAAGUGAGAAUGCUGGCAUGAGUAGCGUGUAAAGCGCGUGCGAAUCGCGCUCGCCGAAAGUCCAAGGGUUCCGACGGAAGGUUCGUCCGCGUCGGGUUAGGCGGGCCUAAGCCGAGGCCGAAAGGCGUAGGUGAUGGACAGCCGGUUAAUAUUCCGGCCCCACCGGUGCAGAGCGAAGGGGGGACGCCGAAGGGUAGGUCAGCCGGGUGGUGGAAUACCCGGUGCCAAGCGUGUAGGCCGAUGAAGGGGGUAGGGAAAUCCGCUCCCGGAGGCUGAGGCGUGAAGGCGGGGCGUAAGCCCAGAAGUGACUGAACCCAUGCGGCCGAGAAAAGCCUCUAAGCGAUGAAGCACCGGUGCCCGUACCGCAAACCGACACAGGUGGACAGGUAGAGAAUACCAAGGCGAGCGGGAGAACCCUGGUUAAGGAACUCGGCAAAUUAGCCCCGUACCUUCGGAAGAAGGGGCGCCCUGGUCUGUGAAGGCGCGAGCCGCCGGAGCGGACUGGGGCCGCAGUGAAAGGGCCCUCCCGACUGUUUACCAAAAACACAGGUCUCUGCGAACCCGAAAGGGGACGUAUAGGGGCUGACGCCUGCCCAGUGCCGGAAGGUUAAGGGAGGGGGUGCAAGCUCCCGACCGAAGCCCCGGUGAACGGCGGCCGUAACUAUAACGGUCCUAAGGUAGCGAAAUUCCUUGUCGGGUAAGUUCCGACCCGCACGAAAGGCGUCACGAGGGGGGCACUGUCUCAACCAGGGACCCGGCGAAAUUGCAAUGGCCGUGAAGAUGCGGCCUACCCGCAGCAGGACAAAAAGACCCCGUGGAGCUUUACUGCAGCUUGCCAUUGUGACGGGGCAUGGUCUGUGUAGGAUAGGUGGGAGGCUGGGAAGCCGGGGCGCCAGCCUCGGUGGAGCCGCCCUUGAAAUACCACCCUGAUCAUGUCUUGUCACUCACUCGUCGCCGUAGAGCCGGGACGAGGACAGUGGCUGGUGGGCAGUUUGACUGGGGCGGUCGCCUCCUAAAGAGUAACGGAGGCGCCCAAAGGUUCCCUCAGGCGGAAUGGAAACCCGCCGAAGAGUGUAAGGGCAGAAGGGAGCUUGACUGCGAGACCUACAAGUCGAGCAGGGGCGAAAGCCGGGCCUAGUGAUCCUACGGUACCGAGUGGAAGGGCCGUAGCUUAUCGGAUAAAAGCUACCCCGGGGAUAACAGGCUAGUCUCGCCCAAGAGUUCACAUCGACGGCGAGGCUCGGCACCUCGAUGUCGGCUCGUCACAUCCUGGGGCUGGAGCAGGUCCCAAGGGUUGGGCUGUUCGCCCAUUAAAGUGGCACGCGAGCUGGGUUCAGAACGUCGUGAGACAGUUCGGUCUCUAUCCGCUGCGGGCGUUGGUGGCUUGAGGGGGGCUGCUCCUAGUACGAGAGGACCGGAGUGGACCGACCGCUGGUGUACCAGUUGUCCCGCCAGGGGCACAGCUGGGUAGCUACGUCGGGAAGAGAGAACCGCUGAAAGCAUCUAAGCGGGAAACUCGCCCCAAGAUGAGGCCACCCACCUCCGCGAGAGGGUAAGCGCGCUGGGAGACGACCAGUUCGAUAGGCCGGUGGUGGAAGCGUGGUAACACGUGUAGCCUACCGGUACUAACGCGCGAGGGCUU
rnacentral:ncRNA from 2 species